rnacentral:rRNA from 1 species
UACGUAGGGACCAAGCGUUGUUCGGCUUUACUGGGCGUAAAGGGCGCGUAGGCGGCGUGUUAAGUCACUUGUGAAAUCUCUAAGCUUAACUUAGAACGGUCAAGUGAUACUGAUGUGCUAGAGUGCAGAAGGGGCAACCGGAAUUCUUGGUGUAGCGGUGAAAUGCGUAGAUAUCAAGAGGAACACCUGAGGUGAAGACGGGUUGCUGGGCUGACACUGACGCUGAGGCGCGAAAGCUAGGGUAGCAAACGGG